AGUUAAGUGAACAAGGGCAUACGGCGGAUGCCUUGGCGCCAAGAGCCGAUGAAGGACGCGGUAAGCUGCGAAAAGGCAUGGGUAGGAGCAAGCAUCC
rnacentral:ncRNA from 1 species